UGGGGGAUAUUGCACAAUGGGCGAAAGCCUGAUGCAGCGACGCCGCGUGGGGGAUGAAGGCUUUCGGGUUGUAAACCUCUUUCGCUAUCGAACAAGGCCCGCUUAGGGUGGGUUGAGGGUAGGUGGAGAAGAAGCGCCGGCUAACUACGUGCCAGCAGCCGCGGUAAUACGUAGGGCGCGAGCGUUGUCCGGAAUUAUUGGGCGUGAAGGGCUUGUAGGCGGCUUGUUGCGCCUGCUGUGAAAACGCGGGGCUUAACUUCGCGCGUGCAGUGGGUACGGGCAGGCUUGAGUGUGGUAGGGGUGACUGGAAUUCCAGGUGUAGCGGUGGAAUGCGCAGAUAUCUGGAGGAACACCGAUGGCGAAGGCAGGUCUCUGGGCCAUUACUGACGCUGAGGAGCGAAAGCAUGGGUAGCGAACAGG
rnacentral:rRNA from 1 species